GGUCUGAGCCGGUCUUCGGCCAUGACAAAGGCCCGCCGCAAGGCGGGCCUUUCUUUUUGCUGCG
rnacentral:sRNA from 36 species